rnacentral:sRNA from 1 species
AGGAGGCCGACUCCGCCGAGUCGGUGGCGGCCGGAGGCUGGGAGGGAGCAGUGUUACGCCUUCGCAGGUUGGCGAAGUGGUUUCAGGCUACCCGGCUAGUCUGGCACGGCCCCGCCUUCUGCCUCCUCCUCCGUCGCGUAGCGGCGGGAACUGUUGGCCGCGCGGCCUCGGGAACGGCCCAGGUCCCCGCCCGCAGGUCCCGGGCAGCCGGAAAUCACUGUGGAAAAUCUUCCCAGUUAUUUCAGACUUCAGAAACCAUUAUUGAUUUUGUUCAGUGAUGGCAGUGUAAAUCCUCAAUAUAAAAAAGCAAUAUUGACACUGGUAAAGCAGAAAUACUUGGAUUCAUUUACUCCUUGCUGGUUAAAUCUAAAGAAUACUCCAGUGGGGAGAGGAAUCUUGCGGGCAUAUUUUGAUCCUCUGCCUCCCCUUCCUCUACUUGUUUUGGUGAAUCUGCAUUCAGGUGGCCAAGUAUUUGCAUUUCCUUCAGACCAGGCUAUAAUUGAA